GUGAGGAAUUUUCCGCAAUGGGCGAAAGCCUGACGGAGCAAUGCCGCGUGAAGGAUGAAGGCCUAUGGGUUGUAAACUUCUUUUCUCAGAAAAGAAUUAUGACGGUAUCUGAGGAAUAAGCAUCGGUUAACUCUGUGCCAGCAGCCGCGGUAAGACAGAGGAUGCAAGCGUUAUCCGGAAUGAUUGGGCGUAAAGCGUCUGUAGGUUGUUUAAAAAGUAUUCUGUCAAAGAUUAGGGCUUAACCCUAGAUAGGCAGAAUAAACUUUUAAGCUAGAGUUUGGUAGAGGCAGAGGGAAUUCCCGGUGGAGCGGUGAAAUGCGUAGAUAUCGGGAGGAACACCAAAGGCGAAGGCACUCUGCUGGGCCAAUACUAACACUGAGAGACGAAAGCGAGGGGAGCAAAUGGGAUUAGAUACCCCUGUAGUCC
rnacentral:rRNA from 1 species